GACGAACGCUGGCGGCGUGCUUAACACAUGCAAGUCGAGCGGUAAGGCUCCUUCGGGAGUACACGAGCGGCGAACGGGUGAGUAACACGUGAGCAAUCUGCCCUUCACACGGGGAUAACCCUCGGAAACGAGAGCUAAUACCCGAUACGACCACUUCAGGCAUCUGAUGGUGGUGGAAAGUUCUGGCGGUGAAGGAUGAGCUCGCGGCCUAUCAGCUUGUUGGCGGGGUAACGGCCCACCAAGGCAACGACGGGUAGCCGGCCUGAGAGGGUGACCGGCCACACUGGGACUGAGACACGGCCCAGACUCCUACGGGAGGCAGCAGUGGGGAAUAUUGGACAAUGGGCGAAGGCCCGAUCCAGCAACGCCGCGUGAGGGAUGACGGCCUUCGGGUUGUAAACCUCUUUCAGCAGGGACGAAGCGCAAGUGACGGUACCUGCAGAAGAAGCACCGGCCAACUACGUGCCAGCCGCCGCGGUAA
rnacentral:rRNA from 1 species